rnacentral:rRNA from 1 species
GACGAACGCUGGCGGCGUGCUUAACACAUGCAAGUCGAACGGAAAGGCCCUGCUUUUGUGGGGUGCUCGAGUGGCGAACGGGUGAGUAACACGUGAGUAACCUGCCCUUGACUUUGGGAUAACUUCAGGAAACUGGGGCUAAUACCGGAUAGGAGCUCCUGCUGCAUGGUGGGGGUUGGAAAGUUUCGGCGGUUGGGGAUGGACUCGCGGCUUAUCAGCUUGUUGGUGGGGUAGUGGCUUACCAAGGCUUUGACGGGUAGCCGGCCUGAGAGGGUGACCGGGCGCGUGGGGCGGGGGCGCCCGCCGGGCGCGCUGCGGGGGAGGGGGGGGGGCAGUGUGGCACAGGGGGCGGAAGCGGGGGCAGGCAACGCGGCGUGGGGGGGGACGCCGUUCGGGUUGCCAUGCGCGUGCGCCUCGGGCGAGGCGGGGGGGAAGAUGAUGAGUAAGAAAGCAACGGACAACGACGCGCCCCCGGCGGCGAUAAUAAGGGGAGGCGCCCCCGUCUGAUC